GACAAACGCUGGCGGCGUGCCUAAGACAUGCAAGUCGGACGGACCCUUCGGGGUCAGUGGCGGACGGGUGAGGAACGCGUGACUAACCUACCCUUGGGUGGGGGAUACCUCCCAGAAAUGGGAGCUAAUACCGCAUACGAGCAGCACCCGGUGGGGUGGUGGGGAAAGCCGAAAGGCGCCGAAGGCGGGGGUCGCGUCGGAUUAGCUAGUUGGUGGGGUAAGAGCCUACCAAGGCGGUGAUCCGUAGCUGGUCUGAGAGGACGGCCAGCCACACUGG
rnacentral:rRNA from 1 species